AAUGCAUGGUGAGGGAAAUUUUUAAGCAUCUCCUUGAAUCUCUCCUAACUCACAUAAAUACAUUCUUCUUUUAACUGAGUAAAAGAAGUAAUAUCAUUUCUAAGUUU